ensembl:snRNA U1 U1 spliceosomal RNA
GUACUUACCCGGCAGGGGAGACACCAUGGUCACAAAGGUGGUUUUCCCAGGGCGAGGCUCAUCCUCUGUACUCUGGUUGUGCUCACCCCUGUGAUUUCCCCAGUGCAGGAAACUUGACCCCAUAAUUUGUGGUCGUGGGGAACUGUGUUUGCGCUUUCCCCUG